rnacentral:rRNA from 1 species
GACGAACGCUGGCGGCGUGCUUAACACAUGCAAGUCGAACGAAGUGGCGAACGGGUGAGUAAUACGUGGGUAACCUGCCCUCCUUUUUGGGAUAAGCCUUGGAAACGGGGUCUAAUACCGACUAAAGGGGGAUGGGCUCGCGGCGUAUCAGCUUGUUGGUGGGGUGAUGGCCUACCAAGGCGGUGACGGGUAGCAGGCCGGAGAGGGUGACCGGCAACAUUGGAACGUCGAUACGGCCCAGUGUGCUACGAGAGGCGGCAGUGGGGGAUAUUGCGCAAUGGGGAAAAGCCUGAUGCAGCGGCGCGACGAAGGGGAUGAAGGCGUACGGGUUGUAAACCUCUUUCGCUAUCGAACCGGUAGGUGGAGAAGAAGCGCCGGCUAACUACGUGCCAGCAGCCGCGGUAAUAC